CCUACGGGAGGCAGCAGUGGGGAAUAUUGCGCAAUGGGGGAAACCCUGACGCAGCAACGCCGCGUGAGUGAGGAAGGACUUCGGUCUGUAAAGCUCUGUUAAUGUGGAAAAAUGUUAGUUGGUCUAAUAGGCCGAUUAAUUGAUGGUACACAUAGAGGAAGCACCGGCUAACUUCGUGCCAGCAGCCGCGGUAAUACGAAGGGUGCAAGCGUUGUUCGGAUUUAUUGGGCGUAAAGCGCGCGUAGGCGGACCUGCAAGUCAGAUGUGAAAUCUCGGGGCUCAACCUCGAAACUGCGUCUGAAACUACAGGUCUAGAAUCUUGGAGGGGGAAGGGGAAUUUCUCAUGUAGGGGUAAAAUCCGUAGAUAUGAGAAGGAACACCAGAGGCGAAGGCGCCUUCCUGGACAAGUAUUGACGCUGAGGCGCGAAAGCGUGGGGAUCAGACAGGAUUAGAUACCCUGGUAGUCCACGCUGUAAACGAUGAACACUAGAUAUUGCGAGAUUUGACCCUCGCAGUGUCGUAGCUAACGCGUUAAGUGUUCCGCCUGGGAAGUACGGUCGCAAGACUAAAACUCAAAUGAAUUGACGG
rnacentral:rRNA from 1 species